CAUUUACAUAUCGUUUUGUUUGUGAAAUUUAUAAAAUUUUGUUUACUAAAUUAUAAAAUUUAAAACAAUAAUUAAUAAAAAAGUGAAAAUAAACAAAAUAUCAGCGACAUCAAUUGUCACGAAAAAUAUACAAAAGAAAAUAAUUCAAAAAACAACUUUUAGUUUUAACUUCUUUCUACACACCAUUUUUUGUUGCCGUCAUAUUUUUGAAAACAAUAUUUAUUAGAGAAGAGUGUACAAAUUUCAUAAAAAUUAUUGCACAAUUAACCAGGAAAAGGCAUUGGACAAAUUGGACUAAUCGUAUGAAAACGUGUAAUUGUCUGCUGAUUAGUAAAUUACAAAAUGAAUUUGGUGUCUAAAUCUGUCACGACUUGUGAAACGAUUAUCGAAAAAUACAUUUCAACAAUAUUUGUGGAUUUUGCAUAAUAUUCCAUCCAUUUGGAAUACUAGGAGGUUAUUUAGUCUGAGUUGGAAUUAUAAUUCUUGCUGCUGUAAUCGGUACAAAGCCAACAAAAGUGAGUGGCAACUACCAACCAACCAAAAGGUCUUCUGUGUGUAAUAUUAAAACUCCAGCAGACUAGCAGCUACUCCAACACAACUUUUGGAAAAACAACAAGACGUCAUAGAAACCCGUAAUAAGCCUGGUUGCAACUGUUUGGAAAACUACAAUGGUAAUCAAAAUAAGAUCUUAAAAAUUAUUGUACGUUACAAUGUUGGAUUGAAUUGAGUACCGCCUUUGGGUGAUUAAACAACGUACCCGAAAAUUAAUUGUUGGAGCUUUUUGGUUUGGAGAUAUAUUAUAUCAUGAAUUCUUUUUUGAAAUAUAAUUGAUAUUUGAAUUCUUUUUUUGUUUUUAGAAUUUUUUUUUUCUUUUUUUUGAUACAGUUCUGAGUUGCAGUACUGCAAGGCCGCCGGGAUGUUCAAGUCUGAAUGAAUGGUGUCGGUACUCCCAUCCUUGGCUUUCCCUUUUAGGACCGUUUUAUCCUACAUCUGAUGACAGACGACAACUGGAAGCGCUAAUGUCAUCAGAAAUUAUCUUUUUACUUAUUUUUAUAUUUUUGUAUAUAAUAUAAAUUUUUUGUUGUUGAAAUUUGGCGAAUCGUUGCCAUAGCUAUUUUUUCUAUCGUAUUGUAAAGUCGAGCUUUUGAUUGGAUUGUUAACACUAGUGGUUUUUAAACUUAAAUUUUGGAAAUACAGUGGUGGCCAGGAAUUUAAGACAAAAAUUGUUUGCUAAAUUCCACGUGAUUGUCAAUUAUUUUUUCAAAUAUUUCCACAAAUAUGUAUGCAUGAGGACUGUUUUAACACACACGUGUGUUUUAUUCGACUGUGUCAAUUCAUACAUAUUCACCACGAACACAUAAAAUUUUUCUACAACUUGAUCAAAAAAAAUUUUUUUUUAAAUAAAGAUAUUUUCUCACAUUUAUAUCAUUAUAAUUUUAUUAUUAUAAAAUAUUCGGACCAAAUUUCGUAUUUUUAGUUCCAUUAGUUUCGGUCAUAUCAUGUUAUUAACAGCGGAUGUUCGCUGAGGUGGGUCAACGUAUUUCCACAUAUCUUUGUCCAUAUAUGUUUUACCGAUUUUUCCAAACAUUUUUCAGAAACUAGAAACAUUAAUAAUAAAUUUCAUACCCUUAGAGGUCCUUUUAUUUUGGCUCUAUCGCACUUAAAAUUCAGUUGAUGAAAAAAAUUCAAGUAUUUGUCUUAAAUUGGUGGCCACCACUGUAUAAAUUGUAAUUGGAUUUAAUUUGUAAAUACCUAAACAUUGAAAAAAUAAUCGAAAUAAAAGGGAAGUGAUAUUUGAUCACAUUAUUUGAACAACAAAUAAAACAAA